GUGCUUUUCUCUCAGCACAGCGGACGCGACUCGAGGGUGACGCUCGCUCCGCUCGUCAUGGCCUACCCGGGAUACGGAGGAGGGUUUGGAAAUUUUAGCAUUCAGGUGCCAGGAAUGCAGAUGGGACAGCCAGUGCCAGAAACAGGCCCAGGUAUACUCCUCGAUGGAUACUCUGGGUGCCCAGCAUUUUCAGACACUUAUUCCUCAGCUGGUGACUCCGUGUAUACUUACUUCAGUGCUGUUGCUGGACAGGAUGGUGAAGUGGAUGCUGAAGAACUUCAGAGAUGUUUGACACAGUCUGGAAUUAGUGGAACUUACUCUCCCUUCAGUUUGGAAACCUGCAGAAUUAUGAUUGCCAUGUUGGAUAGAGAUUACACAGGAAAAAUGGGAUUUAAUGCAUUCAAAGAGCUAUGGUCAGCUCUUAAUGCCUGGAAGGAAAACUUCAUGACUGUUGAUCAAGAUGGAAGUGGCACAGUAGAACAUCAUGAGUUGCGUCAAGCCAUUGGUCUUAUGGGUAAGAACAUUAACAUUCUUUAGAAUCUAUAAAGCUAAUCUUUGUUCUUUGAUUAGAUGAACUUAAUUGCUACAAU
rnacentral:sRNA from 1 species